rfam:Termitomyces sp. J132 unplaced genomic scaffold scaffold221, whole genome shotgun sequence.
UCCGGUAUGGUGUAACGGCUAACAUUGCCGCCUUUCAUUCCAUCUCGCAUUCCAUUUCGCGGCAGCUCGGGGUUCGAUUCCCCGUACCGGAA